UACAGAGGUCUCAAGCGUUGUUCGGAUUCAUUGGGCGUAAAGGGUGCGUAGGCGGCGCUGCAAGUGCCUUGUGAAAUCCCAUCGCCUAACGAUGGAACUGCUCGGUAGACUGCAGCGCUUGAGGUUGGUAGGGCUGCCGGAACUCUAGGUGGAGCGGUGAAAUGCGUAGAUAUCUAGAGGAACGCCCAAGGCGAAGGCAGGCAGCUGGGCCAAUUCUGACGCUGAGGCACGAAAGCGUGGGGAGCAAACAGG
rnacentral:rRNA from 1 species